AUUUCUUUUGUCAAGGUAGUUUUAUUUUCUAGUUCAGGUACAUCAGUGAGUAAUAGUAGAGAUACAUUCUUGGCUGUUUUAGGAGAGUUAAGAGAACAUUUCACUUAAAUGUAAAUGUUUAAAAUCAAAGAAAUGUUCCUGCAUAUGUACAGUUUUUACCUUUAAUCUUGUUUAACUGAUUUUUCUAGUCUUCAAGGAAAACUAUUUGAUUUUCACAUCUAUGAUGAGAGAAAACAGAAAAAUUGUCAAGAGUAAGAAUUGAUUUGACAUUACUUUUGAGAGUUAUCUGCUUCUUUUGCAAGUCAUAAUUUUUCAUUUUAUAGCUUUUAUACUGGGCACCUCAUUUUUUAAUGAUUUGUUUUGGUUCCAGGAUGUUGCCUUCCUGGAGAAACUGAUUAAAGAUGAUAUAGAGCGAGGAAGACUGCCCCUGUUGCUUGUCGCAAAUGCAGGAACGGCAGCAGUAGGACACACAGACAAGAUUGGGAGAUUGAAAGAACUCUGUGAGCAGUAUGGCAUAUGGCUUCAUGUGGAGGGUGUGAAUCUGGCAACAUUGGCUCUGGGUUAUGUC
rnacentral:sRNA from 1 species